rnacentral:rRNA from 1 species
UACGUAGGGUGCAAGCGUUGUCCGGAAUUAUUGGGCGUAAAGAGCUCGUAGGCGGUCUGUCGCGUCGGCUGUGAAAACUCGGGGCUCAACUCCGAGCUUGCAGUCGAUCGGGCAGGCUAGAGUUCGGCAGGGGAGACUGGAAUUCCUGGUGUAGCGGUGAAAUGCGCAGAUAUCAGGAAGAACACCCGUGGCUAAGGCGGCUCCUCUAGUACGGUACUGACGCUGAGACGCGAAAGCGUGGGGAGCGAACAGGAUAGAA